GUCCCUUCGGGAACAUCUGAUAAAAUUGGAACGAUACAAAGAAGAUUAGCAUUGUCCAGGCGCAAGGAUAACAAGCACAAAUGGAGAAAUGGUCCUCCCUCAU
rnacentral:snRNA from 1 species